CAGUGGCUAGUGUGCAUCAGUGGCUAGUAUGCAUGCAUGUGUUGUGUUGAAUAUGAAGAUUAAAAUACCACGAGUAGUAACUAAGGAUCAGAUUGUCGUCGUAUUUAUUUUAGGAACAGUCACUGGCUUUUAUGGAUGGAAUAGUUUAUUACAAAAAUAUAUGAAAGAGCAACGUGAAAAAGAACAAAAGUCAAAUGAGUUUGUCAGCAAAAUCUAAACAUAUUUUCUGGCAGAAAUUAAGCCGAUUAGGGCUUGUAGUAAUUGGUACAACUUUGUGUGUAGCAGGUUGUAAGAUUUAUGUAGUUCCAUGGUAUGUAAAACGCAAGUAUGCAGAAGCAGAACGAUAUGCAAAUAUUGUCUACGAGACACGCAAGAGGAAAGCUU